UGUACCGGUUGUUCUGCCAAGAGCAUUGCCGGGUAGCGAAGUUCGGUACGGAUAAGCGCUGAAAGCAUCUAAGCGCGAAGCCGUUUCCAAGAUUAACAUUCAUUAUUAGACUCGUUCUAGACGAGGACGUUGAUAGGCGCUAUGUAGAAGGCUGGCAACAGCUGCAGCAGAGGCGUACUAAUAGUC
rnacentral:rRNA from 1 species